UUUGAAAUUACUCACGUGUACGAACGACCAUAUGUUUGGUUAAUCAUCACGUUCGACGUUUGUAGUCGCUUAAACUCGAAAUAAUCUCAUCUUCGUACAUAGCUCUUUUUACCGUCGGAUACAGAUUGGUCACGUGACAUGGCUGGUAGUAUCUUCUAUCCUCAUCUCUCUCAGUCUUUCUCUUGGUGGUUCCUCCCACGUCAUUGGAAGUCGACCUGGCAGGGUAUUCAGACGUCGCUAGUGACAAUACUGAAGUCUCGUUGUGGGACGAGGCAAUGUACAAUGCGACAGCAAUCAGCAGCCGCGCCCUUGUCAGCAGGGAUCUCUGUCUUUCUCUUUUCAGAAAAUUCACCAGGAUAAGAACGAAGUUCGAGAGCCUCGUUGGCGACAUUGCGAAUCGAUGUCAGGAUAUAUCUACUACAUAAGUGAUUGCUGGAGGGCUGAACUGUUGGCCGACUCAUUUCUCCUUUUUUCUUCUUUUCUUUUUUUUACUUUUUUUUUCUCUCCUUUUUUUGUGGGAAAUAG